rnacentral:rRNA from 1 species
GAUGAACGCUGGCGGCGUGCCUAAUACAUGCAAGUCGAGCGAACAGAUGAGGAGCUUGCUCCUCUGACGUUAGCGGCGGACGGGUGAGUAACACGUGGAUAACCUACCUAUAAGACUGGGAUAACUUCGGGAAACCGGAGCUAAUACCGGAUAAUAUAUUGAACCGCAUGGUUCAAUAGUGAAAGACGGUUUUGCUGUCACUUAUAGAUGGAUCCGCGCCGCAUUAGCUAGUUGGUAAGGUAACGGCUUACCAAGGCAACGAUGCGUAGCCGACCUGAGAGGGUGAUCGGCCACACUGGAACUGAGACACGGUCCAGCCUCCUACGGGAGGCAGCAGUAGGGAAUCUUCCGCAAUGGGCGAAAGCUUGACGGAGCAACGCCGCGUGAGUGAUGAAGGUCUUCGGAUCGUAAAACUCUGUUAUUAGGGAAGAACAAAUGUGUAAGUAACUAUGCACGUCUUGACGGUACCUAAUCAGAAAGCCACGGCUAACUACGUG